AUUGAACGCUGGCGGCAGGCUUAACACAUGCAAGUCGAACGAGUGGCGGACGGGUGAGUAAUGCUUGGGAAUCUAGCUUAUGGAGGGGGAUAACUACGGGAAACUGUAGCUAAUACCGCGUACCAUAGGAUGAGCCCAAGUGGGAUAAGGUAGUUGGGGAGGUAAAGGCUCACCAAGCAGACGAUCUCUAGCUGGUAGGAGCGGAUGACCAGCCACACUGGUACUGUGGCACGGCCCAGCCUCCUACGGGAGGUCGCAGUGGGGAAUAUUGCGCAUUGGGGGCAACCUGACGCAGCCAUGCCGCUUGAAUGAAGAAGGCCUUCGGGUUGUAAAGUUCUUUCGGUAGCGCGGCGUUAACUACAGAAGAAGCACCGGCUAACUCCGUGCCAGCAGCCGCGGUAAUUC
rnacentral:rRNA from 1 species